ACCCUGUCGUUCACAAUAGGCUUUCAUUAGUUUACUAAGUGGUGUAUGCCUCUUAAUCUUAAACUACACCACAGAACCAUCCUGCCCCACCACCUUUAAGUUAAUAUGAUCGUUGUUCUCAGUCUUGACUCCUUCCUUAGGUUUCUCGUCAGCCAUGGCAAGCGCUGGAGUCUCCUCAUCUGCUGCUUCACAAAAAAGGCACCGGGUCGCACUGCAGCAAGUACUCUUAACCAUAUCGCCAGUCCCCUAAAGAGAUUUACUUAAAAUUAAAAAACACUGCACUUUAAAAACCUUUGAGCAUCUUUACCUUGGAUCACUCAGUUCCGGGCAUCAUUCAGGCAACCACUGCUGGUAGCCUCAGAUAUAGCCAUAGCCCUGAUAACUGUGGCAGUCAAAAAAUCUGCACACUCGAGGCAAGCAGAUCUCUAUGAGUUUGGGGCCAGAUUGGUCUACACAGUGAGUUCCAGGCCAGCCAAGGCUACAUAGUAAGACCCUCCCUCAAAAAAGAAAAGAAAAGGAAUCUGCACAAACAGACUUAAGAGGCUGGACCCCUUGCAGCCAAGAAAGGCUAGAUUCAUUCUUAAGGUACCUCUGAGUCUUCUUUUCACGGAUCUGAGUAAAGCCACACACUGGUGCCAUCGACACACUGCGACAUUUAUUAUUUAAAAUUAUUAUUUUAAAUUUAAAUAUAAUUUAUCAUAUUCUUCCCAUCCCCCAAGUCCUUCCAGACCCUUUACCCCUCCCUACCCACAAAACUUGGAGUUCUUUCACAAAAAAACAAACAAACAAAACCCUAUAAAACAAAGCCCCCCAAAACAAGAAAAUAAAAUAAAAUACCACCCCAAAGCAAAACAGAAACAAAAAAACAAAACCCACCAAACUAUAACCAAACAAAAGCAUACAAAAAAAAUUGUGGAGUACAUUAUAUGUUGGUCAACUACUCCUGAACAUGAGACCUGGCCUGGAGUAAUUGAUGUACCCAUUGUCACUCUAUUGAAGAAAACUGAUUUCCCUCUCUUAGCGGGUAUAAAUGACACUUCAGUUGUUAACCUUUUACUCUAGUGGCCAGGUUUUAUUCAUUCAUUCAUCAUUAAUCCAUUGAUUUUUUACAUUUUUAAAAAUGGAACAAAAUAAAAUAUGAGAUAAAACAAAAACUAUCACAUUGAAGUUGGACAGACAAACCAACAGAAGAAAAGAGCCCAAGAGAAGGCACAAGAAUCAGAGACCAUACAUUAGCACCUGAGGAAUCCAUAAAAAUACUAUAAACUAGGAGCACAGAGGACCUGGUGCAGACCUGUGCAGGCUCUGUGCAUGCUGCUUCAGUCUCUGUGAGUUCAUAUGAACUUUGUUCAUGUUGAUUUAAAAGGUCUUAUUUUCUUGGUGUCCUCCAUCCCUUCUGGCUCUUCUUCCACAGGAUUGCCUGAGCUCUGAUGGGAGGGAUUUAAUGGAGACAUUCUGUUUUAGGUUGUAUGUUCCAAGGUCUCUUACUCUUUGCAUAAUGUCUGGCUAUGGAUUUCUACAUUUGUAACCAUCUGCUGCAGAAGGAGUAUUCUCUGAUGAUGGCUGAACAAGGCACUGAUCUAUAUGUAUAAUAGAAUACCGUUACGAGUUGUUUUUUCAUUAUGUAAUUUUUUUUCUUUUUUUAGACCAGUAGUUAUUUGGUUUUACCCUAGGUCACUGGACUAUCUAUCUUUGGUCACCCAAGCAGUGAUGGAUAAGGGUUCCAUCUUGUGGGGUUGGCCUUAAGUCAAAUCAGGCAUUGGUUACUCCCACAAGCUUUGAGCCACCAUUGACCUAGCAUAUCUUGCGGGUAGUACACCAUUGUAGAUAAAGGGUUUGUGGCUGGCUUGCUGAUGGUGUUUCUCUUAUGAUAGUUUGUGCGGAGUGCCUUCCUGUACCAAAGAUCCUAGAACAUAGGGAUCAAAGGUCCUACCUUUCUUAACACCUUUGGAGUUAGUGUUCACCACAUGAACUGCAAAGAUCAACAUCCACAUCAGGUCCUGAGCAAGCUGAUUUGCUUUCCUAAGGAUUCAGUGAGAAUCAAUAUCCAUGUUUUUGUAUCAUUGUUGCUAACUUCCCAGAACCUCUUACCUACAGAAGUGUGUAUUGUGCCGUAUAUUUGUUAUUUUUUUUGCAGGGAAAUUUUGGUCUCAUAGAAACAUUGAACAAAUGUACAGAAAAAUGACCUCAAGUUCCUUCUCCCCUAAAGCACCUUUUCUUAGUAGAAAUGUGCAUCAGUUGGCACUUUUGUUGUAACGGAUGAGUUGUUAAUGAUACCAAGGCUGUUUUGAAUAUAAAUUAAACAGUUUUACUUUGAACUAUUUGUGUGGUUCAAACUUGCAAAUGUAGAGAAUGGAAGGCAGUGAAGAGCAGUCCACCCUUUGCAGUGGAGGUCAUCCUCAUGUGCUGUUCACAUGUAACUAGCACACAACACACAAGUGUUCUUUCUUACUGAAAUGGUGUCACUCUAUGGCCAAUUAUUGUCUUUCAAACAAAACCACUUCACCUUAGGAUUAUGUUGAACAGUUUCUCUGCCUUCUCCACCAUGCUGUAUCCUUUUUUCCAGGACACCAAUCUUAAACUUCCUCACUGAAAGGGAGGACAGUGAAGGCUGCGUCGGUUUUUCUGGCACCCUGUAUGUGAGGUUGCAUCUGGCCACCCUUGUCUUCCACAUGAUUCUGCUCCUUUCCAGGCAGCCUUGUGCUUUGGGCUUUUAAUAACUAAAACUAAUGAAAUGCUGGAAUUACCGGGCAAUUUAAAUAUUAUUCAUCAUCAAAAGCCCUGCACCAAAUGGGUCAUGGAUGUCAAAAUGAGACCUGAUACUCUGAAAAUGCCAAAGGACACGGUAGAGAAAAUACUCCCACUUCUAAACACAGGAAAACUGAAAGCCCAACCUGCACCGAUUAGGAAGAGAACCUUCAUCCAGUGACUGAAGGAAGCAGAUGCAGGGCAGUGGAGUGCUCUCCUCACCUUGGAUUUUCCAGUCCCGGAGGGUGCUGCAGCCACCCCAUCUUAAACAGGACCGUGAAAAAGAAAUCGUCACAAGAGUUCAACCAAAAGAGCUUGUAACAAGGAAGAGGUCCUUCAGGACCAAGAACCAGGGACCGUCGCCCUGGCACGUGCCAGCACCGGGCUCUACUCUGAGCGCAGAGGCGGGGACAGCAUGCUGGCCGUGCCCUCCCCCUCCUAGAGUGAUGCAGACCUGCGGGGCAGAGCGACACCACUAUUACCUCCAACGUCACAGUGACCCGGGGACACCGCUGUCAUACAGUGUCUGGGCUGCUCCGCCUCUGAGGCUGCCAGAGCAGAUCAAGGAUCCUCCUAAGGAAAUGCCUCCCAGGUUUCCAAGGCUACACGGAGAGGCACUUCCUCUUCCUCCUCAGCCUCCAAGGAAGUUAGUUCCCUGUGUGCGGGUCCCUGACCCUCCCCUGCAGCACUCAGAGCACUGCCCUGGGUGGAGUGAGGCAUUUGAACACAGGUGUUCGUUGCACAGCAAGCAACUGGAUUCCUUCUCUCUCGCUUCUCUGGUUCUUCAGUUUUACAGUGGAAUGAAUGCCUUUUGUUAGCAAAUUGUCAUGUGCUGUUUAACCUCACUGAAGCUGGCUCCAGAGAUUUCUUGGUACCAGAAAGCAUCCAGAGAUGGAGGAAAACCAGUAGUCCUUCCCAGCUGUGACACCUGUGAACCUGACCAUCCAGCAUAGCAUGACAACAGAAAUGAAGUUGUGGCAUGUGUACCUUGGACUAAAUUGAACUCACUGGAUUUAAGACCUGCUCAACAAGAGGGCAACCAUGUUGCUACAGGAAACAAACCUAACUGCUCAGUGCUAGUGAGGUCAUGGUUAAUGGUGGAGAAUUUACAGCCAUGAAUUUGCUAAAGCAGCAUCAUCCCUAACAACAAUCUGUAAACAUUUGUCUUUAUGCCCACAGAUAAGUGUGGUCCUUACCGCUCAUCAAGACAACUUUUCUUUGCAACAUACCGAGACCACUACAGAAAAAUAUAACCAAUCAAUAUGCAGAGUUAUAGAGCUCAGUUCCAAUAGAGAAAUGUAUAAAAUACUCCCACAUCUAAGGCUCAGGCCAAUUUGAGGAAGAGGGGGGUGGAAAGAUUGUAAGAGCUAGAGAUCAGGAAGUUUGCUGUGAGGUUGUGUCUCCUAGUGUGGUCAGAAGCUAUGCCCAUAAAUUCUCACCAACAUGACUGCUCAAGAAUGAACAAUGAGGACACCAAUGGCCAGGCGAACAUGGGCAGAGAAGAGCCCAUGAGGCCUCAACCCCACAUAAAAAACUACAGGCAACUGAGGAAAGCUGGGAAUGGAGAGAGCACACCAGUCUCUGGUCUAGUACCAAAUAGUCAGCCCUGAAAACAUCCAUACAAGUAACAGGGACUGAAGACGUUAUAUUUAGAAAUAUGCAUGUAUAUAUGUAUAUACAUAUUUGCAUGCAAUAAUAGUUAAUGAAAAAAGAAGCCAUGAAUUUGGUGGAGAACAGGAAAGGUUAUAUUGGAAGGGAUUCAAGGGAGAAAAAGAAGGGAGAAAUGUUGUAAUUACUGUUUACUUCCCAGGCCAGGGAGGCUAAAUCUCUUCAGAUUGAAAGUUCUGUGAAAAGAUCUACAAGGGAUUACCAGGGGACUCCAGACUUAAGAGUGGUAUGAACAAAGCACUUCCCAUUUUUAUUCCUAAAGCAAGGGAAACGUGAGUUGACUUUUGCAGUUAACCUAAGCAAAUAGAAGGGCAUUGAGGGAAUUCAGCUGGUGUUAUGUCUUAUCAUCUUUGGUCAUGUGAAAAGAGCAAAAAAUAUGUCAUGUCGUUCCAUUCAUGUCCUUGCUUUCAAGUGCAUUCACUUAUGGUUUAUACAUUUUCUUCUAGAAGGCUACCUUGUGGAAAGAACAUUCUGUGCUCCAUCAUAAUUCACUGUUAAAUAUACAACUUUUUUUUUAAACAUAGGCUCCUGAUAUUAUAAUUUCAGAAAGAAUUACAAAUGGCUAGUAAACUAUUUUUUUUUUUUUUUUUUUUUUACAUACGGUCUCUCUAUGUGCCUCUUGACCAUCCUGGCACUCACCAUGUGCCGACCAGGCUUGGCCUGCAACUCACAGAAGCCACUUUCCUCUGGCUUCCAUGUGCAGGGAUUAAAGUUGUGCAUCCCACUCAGCUAAAAAACACUUUGAAAAAUAUUCACUGUCCUUGGCUGUGAAGGAAACACAGAUUAACACUACUUCAGAAUUCCAUCACUCCAGGCAGAAUGGCUAUGAUCAGGAAUACAAGUGACAAGCAAUGCUGAUGUGGAUGUACAGAAAGGAACACUCUUAUGCACUGUGCGUGGAAGCAUAAACUAGUACAGACACUAUGAAAUCAGGCUGGACUCACGAACGUCCCCGUAGGCUCCCUAGUUGAACACUUGGUUCCCAUUUGGUGACACUGUUUAGGGAAAUUGUAAAAGGUGAAACCUUGUAGGAGGAUGUAUGUCACAAAGGAUGAGCUUGGAGCACCAAUGGCCUUGCUUCACUUCCAGCUCACACACUCUGCUUUAUUUCUGCUUUUGAAGAUAAAACUAUACAGUCAAUAUAAAUUCUUUCAUAAACUGUUAUUAGUCAGAGUAGCUUCCCAGAGCAAGUGAGGUCAUGGACCUUAGAAAAGAAUCUACCAGCACAACUUUUCUAGACUAGCAUAAUUCCUUACUACACUUGAAAUCUUAUCAUUAUACCCACAGAUAAGUGAAGCUACCAUUCCUCAUCUAAGACCUUUCUCUUUACAGAAAAUGGAGACCAUCACAGGAAACCACAACUGGACACAAUGCGGAAAUAAACCAGUGGGUCAUGGGGAGACCAGUACCAAUGUAUACAUCUACAUCACUGCUCCUGUGUCUCUGGUCAGGUUACAGUCCAUCAUGAAGGGAAGUCAGGACAGAAAUGCAGACAGAGACCUGGAGGCAGGAACUGAAGCAGAGGCCAUGAAGGAACACUGCUGACUGCCUUGCUCCCCAUGGCUUGCCCAACUUGCUGUCUUAUAGCACCCCAAAACACCAGUGCAGGGGUGGCCCUGCCCACAGUGAGCUGAACCUUCCCACAUAGAGCAUUUGUUAUUCAAGAAAAUGCUCCACAGGCUUACCUAUAGGCCAAUCUGAUAGAGGCAUUUUCUCAUCUAAUGUUUCCUCUAACAAUUGACCCUACCUGUAUCAAGUUGAAAACAACAACAACUACAACAAAAGAAAACACAGCACAUUGGGCAUCGUCUGCACAUGACCAUAGCAUUUUUUAUGUAAAUCCUGGAGAUCCAAACUCGGGUCCCUGUGCUUUCUCAGCAGGCAGCAUACUGACAGCCAUCUUCCUAUCCUGAUCUGGAUUGUGCUGUGGGUACUUUGAAACCACCUAGGGACAUUGACAUACGCAUUCCCACUGUUGUCCACCACAGUAAUCAUGUGGAGUGUGCAGAAGGAUUCCCAUGUCACCAACUUAAAAAGUUAUGGUCCUUUAACUCAUGAACUGCCAUUUCUGCAUCUCUUGGCUUUCUUGGUUUUGAAGCUACAUGUUUAAUUUCUUACCCAUUAUUUACAUUUCUUUGAAU